GUUCUCCUGGGCUCCUGCAAGGACAGAGGCCCGGGGAUCAGAGCCAUUUCUACCUCUACCCCCAAACCACACAUUUUGACUCGGUUUUCCGGGAGCUAAUCUCAGGGCUGGAAUUUUGAAGGUCCGUGAGCGCUGGGAUUCCGUCACUGUUUCCAGCCUAGCAGCCACCUGAAGUUGGAACCUUCGAAAGUUUCUCAAGUUCCUUCCCACCUUCAGUCCUUGCUCAGACCAGUCAACUGCAGCUUUGGGGCUGGAUGCCACCCCUAGACGAACGCGGGAACGUGCCUCCCCUCCCCACCAGCUCCCCAGCUAAUCUCUCCCCCUGGCAAAGUCGCGAAUCCAGGCAGGGGGCGGAUUGGAAAGAGCUAGCGAACCCGAGGGUCUCACCUGAGGGUAAGAGUAGAGGGAAUAACCAGAGCAGAGCCAGGGCGGGAAGGUGCCUGGAGACUCUCAUGUUGGCAGACGAGCCUGUCAGCCGAGACAGCUGAAUGCGAAGCCUGAGUGCGGGGGUUCCUUUUAUAAUUUCCCCGUGGUAAUUAGGGGCUGGACUGAACGAGGGACGGCGAGGGGGUGGGGGGUGGGGGGGAGGGAGGGGGCGGGGCAGUGCUGCCUUCCCGGAAAUCUCACGUCUUCCCCUCCUGAGCAAGUUGCCCGGUAUUUCCGGAUGGGGGGCGGGAGGGGGGAAACACAUUGGGGAUCAGUCCGUCCCUCCUAGUUGAGGAGUUUCCAAAGUAAAGCAACACGGUGCUCAGAGACUUUUGGGGGUGGGGCAGGAUCCGGAGGCCAGACAGGGGUGCAGUGGCCAGAUUUGAAGGUGGAGCCCGGAAUCGGAUUCUGAAGAUGACACCUAGCCCACCUCCAGCAAAUUUAUGGACUACCGUUAUUUUAUAAUGUAGCCAGUCCACUGAAAACAUUCUUGGCUUGGAUCUGGA